GGCAUGUACUUUCUCAGGCAGGCCACUCAUUUUUCUCAGUCAAACGUCCCAGUUAAUUGUCCAUUUAGUGACAAACUUAAUGCUUGUCAGUAUGUACUGAAUGGACAAAUCUUGUUAUAAGAUGCCAAAUACUAGAAGUAGAAACCGGCCUCCAUAUAUACACAGGUCAGGGUUAAAAGGAAUCUUCUACUGUGUCCUUUCUGCAUGUCCUUGUGCACUGUCAAUACGAUUGUAGUUCUGCAUCGUGUCCCCACGGUCUGUAUAUAUUGCUUUAGUAUGUAAAUCCAUAUACACAGUUUAUAAUAUAUGAAGCCAUGAAGGGCUGUUUUCUGUCCCUACAUUCUACCCCUCGGAUAAACCCAUGCGUACUGUAUUUGUUGACAGUAGUAUUAGAGAUGGGAAUGUAAGGGAGAUGCUCGACAAGCAAGGGACCAAGGGGUGAAGGGGGUACUGUUCUUGGUCUGGCAGUAGGAGCUGCUUUCAGUUGGAACAAAUAUCUGCCCCACUAGAUGUCGUAACACAGUCAACAAUGUAAUUAUACGCCUGGAGAUUGGUCAAGAUGCCAUCUUUACCAAGGACAGUCUGUUGAAAAGGAGACAGUACAAGAGUGUUCUUUGCUAUUCGUGUACCCUGAAUCAAACCUCACGCUUGACUUUUUCUUCUUCUUUUUUUAAUGCAGCAAGCACAUGUAUAGUUGUGGAUGUAUCCAAUUCAACCAUGGUGCACAGCAACAAAAAGGAGAAGAAACCAUGCGCGGUUAUUUUCAUAUAAACACUAAUAAAAGCAUUGCUCAUCUGAAUAAUAGUUCGAUACUGGGGCCAAAGUGCCA
rnacentral:lncRNA from 1 species